AGGACGAACGCUGGCGGCGUGCCUAACACAUGCAAGUCGAACGGAGUCCAUCCGGUGGCAACACCGGUGAAGAUUCAGUGGCGAACGGGUGCGGAACACGUGAGCAACCUGCCCCGAAGAUCGGGAUAACGGCGGGAAACUGCCGCUAAUACCGAAUAUCCCCACGAGAUCGCAUGGUCUUGUGAGGAAAGGAUUACCGCUUCGGGACGGGCUCGCGGCCUAUCAGCUUGUUGGUGGGUAAUGGCCUACCAAGGCAACGACGGGUAGCUGGUCUGAGAGGACGAUCAGCCACACUGGGACUGAGACACGGCCCAGACUCCUACGGGAGGCAGCAGUGGGGAAUCUUGCGCAAUGGGCGAAAGCCUGACGCAGCAACGCCGCGUGGGGGAUGAAUGCCUUCGGUUGUAACUCCUGUCGAGGGGAGAGGGGUAACACCUUGACUGAUCCCUGGAGGAAGCACGGGCUAAGUCGUGCCAGCAGCCGCGGUAA
rnacentral:rRNA from 1 species